rnacentral:rRNA from 1 species
UACGGAGGGGGCAAGCGUUGUUCGGAAUUACUGGGCGUAAAGGGCGCGUAGGCGGCCUACUAAGUCAGACGUGAAAUCCCCCGGCUUAACCUGGGAACUGCGUCUGAUACUGGAAGGCUUGAGGAUGGGAGAGGGAUGUAGAAUUCCAGGUGUAGCGGUGAAAUGCGUAGAUAUCUGGAGGAAUACCGGUGGCGAAGGCGGCAUCCUGGACCAUUACUGACGCUGAGGCGCGAAAGCUAGGGGAGCAAACGGG